rnacentral:rRNA from 1 species
GACGAACCGUGCGAACGUUAUUCGGAAUUACUGGGCGUAAAGCGCACGUAGGCGGCUUUGCAAGUUAGAGGUGAAAGCCCGGGGCUCAACUCCGGAAUUGCCUUUAAAACUGCAUCGCUAGAAUUGUGGAGAGGUAAGUGGAAUUCCGAGUGUAGAGGUGAAAUUCGUAGAUAUUCGGAAGAACACCAGUGGCGAAGGCGACUUACUGGACACAUAUUGACGCUGAGGUGCGAAAGCGUGGGGAGCAAACAGG